UCCUAAAUUCAGCCUUUGCUAUCCUUACAUCCAAACCCUCCUCGACUCCGACAGGGUUUAAGUUCCCAUCACAAAGCGCCUACAAUACACUUGAGUCUCUAUUUUCCUAAAAUGGCCUCUUUCACCGCCGCCAGAUCCAUUUUCCGAUCAACCUCCUCCGCUCGCAACGCCGCUGCCCGGUUCACGUCCAAACCCAAAUCCUCACGGGCUUCUCCCUUUCGAGCUUCCGCCAACAAGCCUCUCUCUCAACCCAUUUUCAGGCGUCCAGUUGAAAUGAGCUUCGGCGUUGAAUCGAUGAUGCCAUACCACACAGCCACUGCUUCGGCAUUGAUGACUUCGAUGCUCUCCAUCUCUCGACGCAGCUAUGGUUGGCUUCCGGAAGCUUGCAAUGAUGAUGUGUGAAACAGAGGAUUCAAGCAAGUUUUAGUACAAAAUUCUGCCUUUUAGAAGUUUUGAAUGGGCUGCUGAGGAGCAAGUUGGUAUUUAUGGAUCUUCCAAACAUAGAAUUAAUGGAUGAGAUUAUGUUUGUCUGGUGAUAUGCACUGGUUGCAAGUCUUGUUGCCAUGUAAUCUGGUGGCUGCUAUCUAUUUGAGCUUUAGUUUGAUUAGAUUAGGAGAGAAUUCAAAAUUGAACUACAGAAUCUGGGUUAUAGUUGACUGUUGGAUGGCUUAUAUUUCCUUCAGGCUAGGUGUUUUCUUGGUUGUAAGGUUGUAAUACAGAAAUUUUAUGGGUCUUGUUCUACCCAAUUCGCCCUUCACCAACUACCUUGAACAUCUCCUUCUUUCCUGGGAAUGAUCUCAAUUGGAACCUUAAUGCUUACUGCUAAUCUUUUACUGAAAGCUUAUGAUUAGAAUGUGGAGGUUCAACCGCAAGCUUCCUUUGUCUACUUCAUGCUUGAGCUAUUCUUGCUGAUUUCUUGCCACCCGUUUGGUGACCAUGGCAGAGCUUCACAAAAUGAGCCAAGCACACAAUUUUGAAGCAGAUUCCCGAUUGAAAUGAAUUACCCAUCUCAGUAUGGAUUCCAUUAUAAUGUUCCCUAUUUUUUUAGUUUUUAUGAAAUGUGAGAUAUCACAAUUCUGAAUGCGACUUAAA